rnacentral:rRNA from 1 species
UGAGGAAUCUUGCGCAAUGGGCGAAAGCCUGACGCAGCCACGCCGCGUGCCGGAUGAAGGCCCUAUGGGUUGUAAACGGCUUUUACUAGGGAAGAACGAGGAGGUUUUGAUCUUCUGUGACGGUACCUAGUGAAUAAGCACCGGCUAACUCCGUGCCAGCAGCCGCGGUAAUACGGAGGGUGCAAGCGUUGUCCGGAAUCAUUGGGUGUAAAGGGUACGUAGGCGGGAGCCUAAGUCUGGGGUGAAAUCUUGCCGCUUAACGGUAAAAUGGCCUUGGAUACUGGGUUUCUUGAGUGCAGAAGAGGCAGGUGGAAUUCGUGGUGUAGCGGUGAAAUGCAUAGAUAUCACGAAGAACAUCAGUGGCGAAGGCGGCCUGCUGGUCUGCAACUGACGCUGAGGUACGAAAGCGUGGGGAGCGAACAGG